CCUACGGGAGGCAGCAGUAGGGAAUCUUCCACAAUGGACGAAAGUCUGAUGGAGCAACGCCGCGUGAGUGAAGAAGGGUUUCGGCUCGUAAAGCUCUGUUGGUAGUGAAGAAAGAUAGAGGUAGUAACUGUCCUUUAUUUGACGGUAAUUACUUAGAAAGUCACGGCUAACUACGUGCCAGCAGCCGCGGUAAUACGUAGGUGGCAAGCGUUGUCCGGAUUUAUUGGGCGUAAAGCGAGUGCAGGCGGUUCAAUAAGUCUGAUGUGAAAGCCUUCGGCUCAACCGGAGAAUUGCAUCAGAUACUGGUAGACUUGAGUGCAGAAGAGGAGAGUGGAACUCGAGGUGUAGCGGUGGAAUGCGUAGAUAUAUGGAAGAACACCAGUGGCGAAGGCGGCUCUCUGGUCUGCAACUGACGCUGAGGCUCGAAAGCAUGGGUAGCGAACAGGAUUAGAUACCCGAGUAGUC
rnacentral:rRNA from 1 species